rnacentral:rRNA from 1 species
AUUGAACGCUGGCGGCAGGCCUAACACAUGCAAGUCGAGCGGAUGAAGGGAGCUUGCUCCUGGAUUCAGCGGCGGACGGGUGAGUAAUGCCUAGGAAUCUGCCUGGUCGUGGGGGAUAACGUCAGGAAACGGGCGCUAAUACCGCAUACGUCCAGAUGGUGAAAGUGGUGGAUCUUCGGACCUCACGCGAUCAGAUGAGCCUAGGUCGGGUUAGCGAGUUGGUGGGGUAAAGGCCUACCAAGGCAACGAUCCGUAACUGAUCUGAGAGGAUGAUCAGUCACACUGGAACUGAGACACGGUCCAGACUCCUACGGGAGGCAGCAGUGGGGAAUAUUGGACAAUGGGCGAAAGCCUGACGCAGCCAUGCCGCGUGUGUGAAGAAGGUCUUCGGAUUGUAAAGCACUUUAAGUUGGGAGGAAGGGCAGUAAGUUAAUACCUUGCUGUUUUGACGUUACCAACAGAAUAAGCACCGGCUAACUUCGUG